AGUCGUAACAAGGUUUCCGUAGGUGAACCGCAGAAGGACAUUAU
rnacentral:rRNA from 1 species